UGCUCUGUAAUUUAAUGGUUUGGGAACUGGCCUCAUAAGUCAGAGGUUACAGGUUCAAGUCCGAAGUGGGGCAC
rnacentral:tRNA from 1 species